rnacentral:lncRNA from 1 species
AGGAGUGCGGGACAAAUGGAGCGGGGUGGGGGUGGGGAAGGGGAGGAGCGGUGGCGGGGGGAGACGUUUAAUAGGCAGCGUGAGACUCCAGCCCGCACCGAAGAGCGGGGCGACGGCUGUCACCCGCCAAGACUCGGCCGGCACAACCCGACUGCCGCGCACCGGCCGGGGUCGGCAGGCCGGCCGGUAGACCUGAGGUUUAAUUCUCACAGUCCUAAGAAGCACUUGCCCAGGAUCACACCCCUGGUAUGCGGAGACUGAAUGAUAUUGGAAACUCAAGAUGUCUGACUCCAAAGCCUGGUAUUAAACCAUCACUGAGCAGACUUUGUAGUCAUUAAU